UACAGCGGGUGCGAGCGUUACUCGGACUUACUGGGCGUAAAGCGUGCGUAGACGGCUAUCUAAGUCGGGUGUGAAAGCCCCGGGCUCAACCUGGGAAUUGCAUUCGAGACUGAAUAGCUAGGGUACGGUAGAGGGAAGUGGAAUUUCCGGUGUAGCGGUGAAAUUCGUAGAUAUUCGCAAGAACACCAGUGGCGAAGGCGGCUCACUGGCCCGAUACUGACGCUGAGGCACGAAAGCGUGGGGAGCAAACAGG
rnacentral:rRNA from 1 species